ensembl:lncRNA
CAAUUACAGAUGCAAGUUCUUCAGUAGAGCAGAUAACAGUGAACAAUCAGGCAAAAGGACUUCAUAUAAUGCGGUCACAUAUUUUCCUGGAAAAUAAUAAUGUAAAGAGUAGUGGUUAUAAUUAAGGUAACAACAAAAACAGAACUAAAAAGGACUUGAAACUGAAAACUAGCCAGUGUGAUAUUAUUUCUUGUAAGGCUCACCUGACAUUUUCAGAUCAGAACUCUGCCUGUUUAUGCCUUCAGAACAUUAACAAUAAUGAUUACUUUUUUUUUUUUUUUUUUUUUUUUUUAAGAAAACAGGGUGGAAACAACACACAUUAACAAAGUGAUCAACUUUACAAGAUGAGAAGUGGGAUGUGGGAACAAGUUAUAUAGAACAAGGACUAAGAACAUGGAAUUGACAGAAUGCUGCUAUGUCAGCUGACCCAAUGCGGUACCAAUAACGAGUAGUAUGGAUAUAAUGAGCCAGUCCUGGCAGAAGACUGAGCUGACAAUGAAGACUGGCUUGACUCAAGGUCGCCAUACAAGGGCAUAAGUCAGUUUUGUGUUUUGACAUCAGUGGCUAGACUUAUUACGCAAGGUGGGUAUCUGGUGCAUGUGAUUACCAGUAGCGCGUGUGUUUUAAUAAUUUUAUUCCCAUUCCUGUCUUUGAGAUGGCUGCUGAGCAAAUACACCUGAUUAACUGAACAUUAGCAAGUUUCUCCACCUUAUAAAAGGAGACAUUUAGGAGUUUGUUGGUUGGGGCACUCAAAAAGGUGUUAUCACAAUAUCACAAUCUUCCCAAGACUGAACAUUCAAGCAACUUUACCCCAAGGUCAUUGCAGUGCAACGCUCAGAGAAACAGCAGAAAUCCCAAGAGCUACAUUUCAGACUCUACAGCCCUCAAUUACCAUGUAAAACAUUAAAUUUAAAUUAAAAAAAAAAUACUGGCUCGUGACAUCAUAGCAGGGUUUGGGUUUGCAACGUUGCUUCUGACCAAGUCACAAGUUUUCUACAACAAUGUUCUUUGGACAAAUGAGACCAGAGUUGAGAUGUUUGGCUAUAAUGCACAGUGGGACACAGUUAGGUCAUAUACCAACAACAUUCCUAGACUAACAGAAAGAAAUCAAGUUGUGUAAUCUCACAUACUGGGCAAUGCACAAUUGGGUCAAAAAAAGAAAAAAAAAUGUAAAAUAUAUACAGUGGGGCAAAAAAAUAUUUAGUCAGCCACCGAUUGUGCAAGUUCCCCCACUUAAAAUGAUGACAGAGGUCAGUAAUUUGCACCAGAGGUACACUUCAACUGUGAG